rnacentral:rRNA from 1 species
AAUGAACGCUGGCGGCAGGCCUAACACAUGCAAGUCGAGAGAAGUCUUCGGACUUAGCGGCGGACGGGUGAGUAACGCGUGGGAACAUGCCCUUUGGUGCGGAAUAGCCCCGGGAAACUGGGAGUAAUACCGCAUGUGCCCUUCGGGGGAAAGAUUUAUCGCCAAAGGAUUGGCCCGCGUUGGAUUAGGUAGUUGGUGGGGUAAUGGCCUACCAAGCCGACGAUCCAUAGCUGGUUUGAGAGGAUGAUCAGCCAGACUGGGACUGAGACACGGCCCAGACUCCUACGGGAGGCAGCAGUGGGGAAUCUUAGACAAUGGGCGCAAGCCUGAUCUAGCCAUGCCGCGUGAUCGAUGAAGGCCUUAGGGUUGUAAAGAUCUUUCAGUGGGGAAGAUAAUGACGGUACCCACAGAAGAAGCCCCGGCUAACUCCGUG